rnacentral:rRNA from 1 species
AUUGAACGCUGGCGGCAGGCCUAACACAUGCAAGUCGAACGAGUGGCGGACGGGUGAGUAAUGUCUGGGAAACUGCCCGAUGGAGGGGGAUAACUACUGGAAACGGUAGCUAAUACCGCAUACCAUCGGAUGUGCCCAGAUGGGAUUAGCUUGUAGGUGAGGUAACGGCUCACCUAGGCGACGAUCCCUAGCUGGUCUGAGAGGAUGACCAGCCACACUGGAACUGAGACAAGGUCCAGACUGCUACGGGGGGCAGCGGUGGGGAAAAUUGCACAAUGGGCGCGAGCCUGAUGCAGCCAUGCCGCGGGUAUGAAGAAGGCCUUCGGGUUGUAAAGUACUUUCAGCUGGGAGGCGGUGCCCGCAGAAGAAACACCGGGUGACUCCGUGCCAGCAGCCGCGGUAAUAC